GCUAAGUGGCGCAGCGGAAGCGCGCCGGGCUCAUAACCCGGAGGACCUCUGAGUGAGUGGCUUCAGUG